AUGAACGCUGGCGGCGUGCCUAAUACAUGCAAGUCGAGCGAACGGACGAGAAGCUUGCUUCUCUGCUGUUAGCGGCGGACGGGUGAGUAACACGUGGAUAACCUACCUAUAAGACUGGGAUAACUUCGGGAAACCGGAGCUAAUACCGGAUAAUAUUUUGAACCGCAUGGUUCAAAAGUGAAAGACGGUCUUGCUGUCACUUAUAGCUGGAUCCGCGCUGCAUUAGCUAGUUGGUAAGGUAACGGCUUACCAAGGCAACGAUGCAUAGCCGACCUGAGAGGGUGAUCGGCCACACUGGAACUGAGACACGGUCCAGACUCCUACGGGAGGCAGCAGUAGGGAAUCUUACGCAAUGGGCGAAAGCCUGACGGAGCAACGCCGCGUGAGUGAUGAAGGUCUUCGGAUCGUAAAACUCUGUUAUUAGGGAAGAACAUAUGUGUAAGUAACUGUGCACAUCUUGACGGUACCUAAUCAGAAAGCCACGGCUAACUACGUG
rnacentral:rRNA from 1 species